UGGCUCAGAUUGAACGCUGGCGGCAGGCUUAACACAUGCAAGUCGAACGGUAACAUAAAGAAGCUUGCUUCUUUGAUGACGAGUGGCGGACGGGUGAGUAAUGCUUGGGAAUCUAGCUUAUGGAGGGGGAUAACUAUGGGAAACUGUAGCUAAUACCGCGUAGAAUCGGGAGAUGAAAGUGUGGGACCUUCGGGCCACAUGCCAUAGGAUGAGCCCAAGUGGGAUUAGGUAGUUGGUGAGGUAAAGGCUCACCAAGCCGACGAUCUCUAGCUGGGUCUGGGAGGAUGACCAGCCACACUGGGACUGAGACACGGGCCCAGACUCCUACGGGAGGCAGCAGUGGGGAAUUAUUGCGCAAUGGGGGGCACCCCUGACGCAGCCCAUGCCGCGUGAAUGAAGAAGCCUUCGGGUUGGUAAAUUCUUUUCGGUAGCGAGGGAAGGCAUUUAGUUAUUGAACAGGUGAUGGACGUUAACAUCCCAAGAGAGGACCGGCUAAUCUCUUCCAGAGCCCCGGGAUAUACGAAGUUCGAGCGUUAUAGGAAUACUCGGCUAACGCAUACAGGCGUACUAUGUAGGGAGAACCUCGGCUACCGGAUGCUUCAUCGGGCUAGAUCUAAGAGGGAAUCCCUGACGGUAGCGAAUGGGAUCAAGGAGUCCCUGGAGUGCUCCUGGAACUGGACAGAGGAAGCUGUUACCGUGACAGGGGUAGUGAAUUACGCGCUGAUAGGUAUAUCCUUGCAGGCGGAAAAAAAAAAAAUUGGUCAAAGAGAGUUUUUUUU
rnacentral:rRNA from 1 species